CAUGCAAUUACAAUUGGCCUGGGCUUCACUCCAGGAUCCCAGCCCUAAAUGGACAAGGUCCAGAAGGCCCAGAGAAUACGGUGGAAAUCUGGAGUAUAACCCAGCAGGACUGAGCUCCUUGAACAACCUGGGAGCCUGGCUUUAGGAGCUGAGAAGAAAGUGGAUGGCACAGUCCUGACAUACAAAGCUCCAUAAAGCGCUUCCAAGUGCCCUCUGGGCCAGACGCUGUGCUAGGUGAUGAAGAUACAAGCAUUUGAACAGGGAUCCUGCGCCCUGGGGCCUCCCACCCUGUGCUGGAGAAGGGCAAGCUGAUCAUCGCAAAGCAGAGUGGGGCACGCACCCUCGACACCUGCCAGGCUCAAGAGCAGGACAGGGAAGGCGAGAUGUUGGGUGUACUCUCCAUACUUCUCAUCUUGCAGCCAGCUCCAGGUUAUGAAUAGAACUGAGUCUGUCAUGCUACUGAUUUUGGUGGACGGCCCAGCUUCCGCAAGACAGCCACGGCUCUGUCAUCCCCUACUGGAUCCCUUGUCCCUCGUGGUCUCUAGGGAAGGAUCCAGGAGCCACCAUUCAGUAAGCUGUGAGGGGUCACUUAAGCCACCUGCUAU